rfam:Nippostrongylus brasiliensis genome assembly, scaffold: NBR_contig0003605
ACAUCGGUAGCACAGUGGUCAGUGCAGUGUGCCGGUGACAGAAAGACGCGGGUUCAAUUCCCGUCCGAUGUC